rnacentral:ncRNA from 1 species
GUAGUAGCAAUUAUUUAAAUUCGAUCCUUGAAGACUGAAAUGGAGAAGGGCUCUACGUAAACACUAGUCGAGUGUGGGUCAGUUAAUCCUAAGAUACUGGCUUCUGCCUUGUAUCAUUAAGAGAAAAAAGUUUCUAUCUUUUCUUUUAGAUACCGAAAUUGAAUAGGGUUAAUUUUCUUUAACGUAGAUACAGAGAUUGUGAUUCGUAUGGAUCAUCUACGAGGAAACGCAUUCAAAGCUGAUGGCGUUGCUCAAAAACCGAGCUAGAGCUGUCUUCUCUAGUCAAGGAAAAUCGGUUUGGCUGUAGACAAAAACGUUAUUUCGAUUAGGUAUCGCGGUUUCUGUUUUGGAAGAUCCAUGAAAAAUAAAAAAUUGCUAUCAAAUUGUGCUACAUCGUGCCGAUAUCCGCAUGAGGUUUCCAAGGUAAACAGCCUCUACUU